rnacentral:rRNA from 1 species
CCUACGGGAGGCAGCAGUAGGGAAUAUUGCGCAAUGGGCGAAAGCCUGACGCAGCAAUACCGCGCGAGUGAGGAAGGCCUUCGGGUUGUAAAGCUCUGUCACUGGGGAAAAACGGCUUAUGGGGUAAUAUUCUAUAAGAUUGAUGGUACCCAGAGAGGAAGCACCGGCUAACUUCGUGCCAGCAGCCGCGGUAAUACGAAGGGUGCAAGCGUUGUUCGGAAUUAUUGGGCGUAAAGGGCGCGCAGGCGGAUUGGUAAGUCAGAUGUGAAAUCUCGGGGCUCAACCCCGAACGUGCGUCUGAAACUGUCGAUCUAGAAAAUCGGAGGGGGAAGGGGAAUUUCACAUGUAGGGGUAAAAUCCGUAGAGAUGUGAAGGAACACCGGAGGCGAAGGCGCCUUCCUGGACGAUAUUUGACGCUGAGGCGCGAAAGCGUGGGGAGCAAACAGGAUUAGAUACCCUGGUAGUCCACGCCGUAAACGAUGAGCACUAGUUAUUGUGGGUUUGACCCCUGCAGUGACAAAGCUAACGCAUUAAGUGCUCCGCCUGGGGAGUACGGUCGCAAGAUUAAAACUCAAAGGAAUUGACGG